CGCGUGUAAAGCGACGCCCACAUGCACGCGUGGGCCUGCGCGUGUCUACAGCUCUGUCUCUUCAGUCCCUCCUCUGCCAUCUCUGCGGCUCUCUUCCACACACGUGUGCGUGAGAGUGUGUGCGUGUGUGCGUGUGUGCAAUGCGCAGCGCAUCUAAGCCAUUGCCCGUGAUACGGACCGCGAUACGCACCCGAACUCGAGGCAGAAGAACGAAGCAAGUAAGAUUCCGGCGUGGACGUGUGCUCAGUCAGUUGACAUCUCCAUCGCUCCCUCGGCGGCACCCACCCAAUCCACCCACAGAAGCAGAUAUACACAGAGCUUUCCUUCGAUAGAAUCUGCCUCUUCCCUUAGCACACACACACACGGGGAGGGGCAGAGAAAGCGAAGAGCACAUUGGCGAGGCUGUCCCCCCCCCCCUCCCCCCGCUGACGGACUUGUAGUGGCACACCGUUGUCCUUUCUCCGCGUGCCCAUACUUCUCUUGCCUCUCUUUUUCCACAUUUGCGCUAAGGCCGACGCCGCUUGCUCAUGGGGAACAGCAGCAGCAGGCGCAGCAGCAGCAGCAGCGGCAGCGGCAGCUCGCUGUCGCACACCGCCGUCGGUGGCAGCAGCCGCCGCCAGCGCAGUCGCGAUUCACAGGUGAGGGGGAGGCCGGCCUUGAGGUCUCUAUACUCGGGUAAAAACGUAUCGGCCGUAACUAGUGCUACUGCGACGAGUUCUCGCGUCGCGGCUUCUUCCCUCUUGACAGGUAGUGGUUUACGAACGCGCAAGCAGCACAGAGACGCCGCGGCAGGGGCCAUGACGACGUCGGCCGCGACGCAGGACAAUAACCUCGCCAGCCCCGUCUCUUCAAUUCACCGGCACGGGUUGCUCUCUCUCUCAUCGCUUCCGACCAAGAGCGUCGUGCCUUCGCCGGCGCGUGCGACUGCGGCUGCCGUCACGGCGUCUCAGCACUCCGUAGGCGAAAGAGGACACCCACUAAGAGACUCGCGAGGAAGAGACAGGUCAUGUGAUGCAGAGUUGUCGCCGCAGCAGCGCCACCACCAGCAGCAGAACAAUGACUUCGACUUGGCUGUGAUCGACGCCUCAAACUCUUGUCAAGCUCACGGAGGCGACGAAAACGCCAACGGUGGCGCUGCUCGGAGCGGCUCGGCUGUGAGUGUGCAUCGCGCACGCUCAUCUUCGACGCUACAGGCGGCGACCGAUUCUGCGGUACCACUGCCGCUCAGAACUCUGCUGAUUCUGGAAGAUGCCCACCCCGCCGCCACCAAGGUAAGCACGGCGCCUACUCCAGCCGGCGGCCACACGCGAGGGACCGUGUCCAUGAGGCGCGGGGGCGACACAGAGGUCGACGUGAACGAGCACAACACUGACUCCUCGCAAGUCUGCCGCGCCAUUUCGCCGUCAACUUUGAACCCGAAGGGUAGGGUGCCGCUUGAGUCUCCGGCCUUCUCAUGCCCGCCGUCGACGGCGGCGCCACCGCUGCCUGUGGGCCGGGCAGCCCGUUCCACCAACGCGCCAUGCCAUCCGUCGACGACAACGACGAGCACCGCCACGCCUCAGCGGCCAGACGAGCCUCUCGACUUGGGCGUCAAGGGUGCCGUCGACCGCGGCAGCGGCAACAGUAAGUCUGACCUCAAGUCCAAGACUGAGGGCGCAGGCGACGGCCGCAGUGGAGGCGGAGGCGGCGGCUUCUGGCGUAGGCAGUCACGCAAUCUCUUAUUUCGCAAGCUCCUCUCUCGGCCUGGCUCUCGUGCAGAGCGGUCGUCGUUGCCCUCCCGCCCCAAGGCGGGCGAAGACGGAGGCAGCGCCCGAGGCACCAAAGCAGAGCUCACUGCUGGGGAAGGUUCGCUCUGCCGCAGAGACGUCGAGGCAAAGACUGUGUACAAGCGCACCUCGCCUGCGCAGCGUGCCCAUGACGUGCCGUCGACUGCGCCUGCAGCUCUGGCCACGCAACCAAGAUCUUCAGCAUCGUCGCCCUUCCCCGCCGUCGCCGCCGCGGCGACGGCAACUGGGCUUGCUGUGUCGAGGCCACCGACCUCUUCGAUGACGGCGCAGCGGGUUUCCGCGUUUCAGCCCUCGGGUGCCGCGGGGCAUUCAGUUGGGCGUACAACGGUCGCCCCGACGGUGGACGAUGCGCGCAGCCCCGCGAGUGACUCGAAGAGCCCUCGCGGUGCUGAAGACGUGUCGGGGCCGAGGCCGAGCGGGAAGGAGUGCGGCGAAGCUCUGCCGCGAGGUCUUCCAGUUUCCAUAGAAACACCACACUUUCUCCAGCUGGUACCAGGAGAACAAGCGGGGCACCAGGGCAGCGAGGAGAGCGACUCGACGACGCCGACGGACACCAACUCGGCACCGAUUCUGCCGCCGACGACGGCUUCUUUCGCGGAAGCGGUGUGGGGCACACGACGAGCCGCCGCGCCAGCAACCCCUACGACGGCCACCGACAACACAAGCCUCUUCUCUGACGACGACCACGAUAAUGGCCAAGACAGCGACUGUGUCACCGCCGCCGCAUCGCCGUCGGUAUACUACUCGUUUCACCAGCAGCCGCGGCAACUGAAGGCUCCCGGCGUCCCUGGUGCCGGCUUAUCAUCCACCACUACUGUGACGGACACGACGGCGCGAGUAUCGCCACGGUCGCCUUUCGUCUCACCUCUCACAGCCGUCGUAGCGGCAGAGAGCGGCGGUUCAGCUGCCGCGGCGGCGUUUUCGUCUUCGGCAGCCACGACUGAUGCGUGCUUGAGAGGCCGCCGGUCGGUGAGUCAAUCUGUUAUCAUCGCGGCGUGGAAUCGAAUGGGCGCCCGCACAGGCGCCCCUGUAAGUGGCGUUGGCGCGGGCGGAGGCCAUCACGGCGGGGUUGAGAGUCCCGAGCCAUCGGCAGAGGCGCUGCAGAUGUCGUUUGCGCUGAGAAAGUCACUUGCCGUUGCCGGCGAUAGCAUUGGUGGCGGUGAUGAGCUGGCAACCUCCGCAGUACCUGCGAGCAGGGACACUCAGCUCGCUCGGGUGCCGACUGGUGCGGCGGCUGAGGUGGCGACAGGCAAAGCAUCGUUUUUCCGCCACCAGUGCACCGUCGCUGGCCAUCAGGAAGCAGGCAGCCGCGGCUCUUCACGCCGCUCUUGGGCCAGCGUCGCUUCCAUGCUGCCGAUUCGGCGCCGCUCCGUCGUAACACGUCAGCGGGAACCACCUGCGCUUUUUUCUCCUUCGCCGGAGAACAGCGAGCCCAGCGAUGCCGUGCCACAGCCGUUCUCUGCCCUCGGUCAGCUCUCCAUCCGUGAAGGCGCACCCGCGGCGGGCCAUCCUGCAUCACCGCCCACGCCCACUAAGGCCGCGAAUGACAUCGCUCAUAGUUGGGUGGCAGCACCACCGCAGGAGCUACAUCGGCCGCCAAGGGCACGAAUAAAGUACAAGAAGGAGGCUCCCUCCGCGGACAGGGCACUGCCUCUCAUGCGUGAGCCCCCUGCCAGCUUGCGCACAUCCACCGCGACUUCAACCUCCAUCGCGACGCAGUGGCCGUCGUCACAGGAGAGUCGGGGGAGCGACACCAGCCUGUCGACUACGCAGUCGCUACAGGCGGGCAUCCUUGUCCCGGUAAACGGCGAGGAUAGAAGUGGCGGGGGCUUGGUGGAGGAGCGGGAGCGUCUGUCGGUGCGCCGCACGACGGCAUACGACGAGGAAAUGGGGUCCGCAACAGCCACGACCGUCGACGCGGAUGAGGAGGAUCGAGCUAACGAGGAAGGUGGCGCGGCAGAGAGGCAGGCCGCACCACGAAGUCCUCAGUCGCUCGCUCAGCACCAACUCCAGCGGCAGCCGAUCGAGGAGCACCCGCACCGGGCAUCCGCCCCUGGGUUCACAACAACGCACACUACCGUGGCUGCCAACAGUGCUGCGCCUGGCCUGCUGUUGGCUCAUGACAACGACCAGCAGCACUACUCUCCGCCGCACUGCAUGGGGAGCGGCACCUUCUUCGCACCGAGCACAUGCGGGGCAGCUGCGUGUGGUGCCAUUUUAUGGGUGCACAGCAGCCCUUCCUCGCCGCGAUCGUACAGCACAAGCGACUCGCGUCUGGAGGUGGCGAGAGACGCACAGGAUGUAGAGGACGAGGAGGACAGCAUCGACGAGGUCGGCCUAAGGCGCACGCGAGAUGGCGAGGAUGCGCGCUGUCGAUUACACAGGUCUGGGGACGAACAUGCGAAGCACUUCGUCGGGCUCGAUGCCAGCCCCUUCAACCGAAACUACUCGUCUCCUUCAGUAUUCGCUUAUCGAAGCGACUCCACCGGCUUCAACGCCAUGACGGCCGCUACUCGCGGCGGCGGCGGGGCAAAGCGGGCGGCUCUGGUGCGCAGCAGCAGCCACCAGCUGCUGUCUCGGCGCUCGCAGUCAGAGCCGACGCGCAAUACAUCGCUUUUGUCCUCGACGGCGCGGGUUAUGCCGCGGUGGAGAGAGCGGUUGACGCCGACGCCGCAGCCGACCUCGCUGCUUUCUUCGAGUACCGCGCGAGAUGACGUCGACGGCACCGCCAGUGGUCUCCUGUCUGCCCCGCGGGGUCGGCGAGGACUGACCUCGCAGGGAGCGCCUCCACUUGCACACCAGCCAAGUGCGCAUCUCCAUCCACCGCCGCCUCCGACCUCGGCGUUGCCGUCGCACGUGCCACAAUAUCUUCGGCGCGAGAUCUCUGGCAGCCUGGGUAGCGUGCGGUGGCAGGAGGUGAGUCUGCACGCCAGUGGUGGGCGAGCCUCGCCGAACUUCGGCUUUGCCGGAAGCAGCCGAGUCAACGACGACACGCCGCCGCACUACGAUGCUCUGGACGACGACGACGAGGAUAACGCCGAGGACGGCGGUGACGAUGGGGCGCAGCGGCGCCAAGGCUGCCCGGUCAGUGGCGCGGUCGGCGAAGACACCGGAGACGACGGUGAUGACACCUUUCUCUGCUUGGAGAGCAGCGAGGCGCCGACGUGGGGCAUGGCGACGUUGCGGACAUGGCAUCGCGACGACGCCGAAGACGACGAUGAGGAUGGCCGCGACGAGGAGGAGGACAAAGACGAUACCAGUGAAAACGGCGCAGGGAGCUGCGGCAGCGGUGAAGCUCGCAGUGGCGGCAGACAUUGCUUGCGGUUGCCGCAGCGUCACCGCUGGCGCCGAUCCGUGACUCCGCCUUCGGCGAGCACGCAGCUACCCACGCAGCAGCCGCAGGAGUCGUGCAACGUUGGCCGUGCGUCUCGCGAGUUUGAUCCCUCGACGCCGUCCGAGCAGGGCAUCCCGCCGUCUCGCACCGGCACGCGGACCUUCGCUGACGCCAUCGUCCGCCUCCCACAGACUCGCUAUGAGCCGCCGAUGCCGUCGAAUAGAAACACCUUCACAGCCUUCGUGCACUUGUCGGACAUCUCCUCCUCGCAGCUGCUCGCCACAGCAGCGGCGACGUUUCAGUGCGGGUUCGAUGCGCACCUCCGCGGUGUAUCAUCAGGGGUGCACGGUGAUGAGGCGGCGGCGGCGACGUCGGAGGAUGGCGGUUACGCUGUUCACCGAGCGGGGCCCCACGUGCACACGCCAGCCAUCGCCGACACGCUCAUCCUGAACGGCUACGCCUUCCAAGAGGCGCACCUCGCCGACGGCUCUGGUGUCGGGGCAGACGUUGUGGAUGCGGCGGGCGGCGCGCUGCCUAUUAGCCCGCUCAACUCUUCCUUGGGCACCGCCCCGACGGACCACAUCUCGCGAGUCGACACACCUGUGCUGGUGGCAGUCCACGGCGCCGUGGCCAGGCGAACCCCGCUAAGCGAAGAGGCCGAAGCGGCGAGCGCGAGGUCUGAGUCGCCCGACGCGCUCUCCUGCGUUACACCGCCCAAGUUGAGAAGCGUCACAAAGGCGCCGCGGGGGCUGAAUCACGCUGCUGCCGCCGUCGCCGCGGCGGCGGUCGGCUUGGAUGGGAGCAGUGGUGGCUUUGAUGGUGACAACGAUGCAGGCAGCGACGACCUGUCAGUGCCAGCGGCGCAGCCGGGAGCCACGUCGCCGCGAACAUCGUGGAGCCUAGAGUCGAUGAGAGCCGGUGGCGCCCCCGUGUCUGAGGGGGAGCGACAUGCGUUGUCGGACGAGGAGAGGCCGUGGCUUGACGCCUUUGGACACUCGACACCUUUGCUCCACAGCGUGGCCGACGCGGUGGUCGCGGUGGAAGCUCCCGCCACUGUGGACAGUCGCUUACAGCACUCGGCUCCGCUUUCCACAUCUCAGUCGCUGCCGUGGUGGAAUCGCCACCGCCACACCACCCGAUCGGAGGGCAGUGACACCAUGGACUUCAGCCAGCGUGGGGGCGAGAGCGGCAACGGCGGUGGCGGGCACUCGCCCUACAGCUCAGUCUCCGUCAACAGUGCUCUUGUUGUUGUGCCGGGUGGCCGCGCCGCGUCUCUGGCAUCUCCGGCAACCCCCACCGGCUCCGUGGCCAUCACCGGGCCGCCUCUGGGUCACACAUUGCAUCCAGGCGGCGGCGCCGUGGCGUCGGUUUCGUUCUGGAUGAGUGGUUGCAGGCUGCGACGUGAGGCGCAGUAUCCCACGGCACCUACAAAUGGUUGCCGCUCGAGUGCCUUCAGCAGCAGCAGCGGCGGCACCAACAGCAACGGGGGAGAUGCAGCCCACAGUGGUGCUGCUGGCGCUGUAUUACGUCAUAAUCCGAAUGACGAGGUGCUCGUCAUGCAGGGGCGCUCAUGCGACGCGGGCGACAGCAGCAGCGAGAAGAGGGUGGCGGGGGAGGCAGGCAUCGAAGCCGGCGCGGCACCUGUGGCGAAGCACACCAGCCACGACCACGACGGCGACAACGCCGGCCUGAGCGAUGCUUGUAUGCAGACACGGAAGCGGCAUCCGUGGAUGCCUGUCUUCCCCAGCUCUUCUCGCAGCGCGAAGACGGCAUUGACAGCCGGAACGGCGUGCGCCGAGUUCGACAGCAAAGGCAUGCUUGCCACGACGGCGCCGACCCACGCGAUGGCCACCAUCACAGUGGUGCCGCCCACGCUGUCCUUUAUAGAGGAGGCGGAGGUGCAAUCCACAUGUAAUGCAUCGCCACUCGCUCUCGCCAUUGCCGCCACAUCCGGUGGACCGUAUCGUGGCGAAGGAGAGCCGACACCCGACAAGGAGGCGCUGGACGACGGAGUUGACGGUGACGAGAGAUCGGGCGUGGACGUUCUCAUCCCUCUGCCGCUUGGCGUACAGGCACAUCACAGCCGCCGAGCCAUCAGCGUUAGCAACACCAUCGCAGCUCCCACGAACACCGCUGUGACCGCUGCGCUGGACGGUUUGGGGGAGACUGAGACGUAUGCUCGCACCUGCAUCGAGGAGAGCGCCGCUGACGCGCGGGAUGCGGGGGUGUCGGUGCGGGAUACGCUCCAGACGCAGCACGGGCAGCCGCCCCUGCAGCAGCAGUGCUCGCCCACCACGGCCCCGUUUGCGCUGCCCUCUGCCCUGCCUGGAAUGGGCAUGGUGGAGAGCGGGGCUUCUCACGCCAUUGAAGGCUUUGCCGCGGGAGCCGGCCGGGACUCUGGCAGCUGCGGCGGCAGCGGUACCACCGGUGUUGCAGUCAGCGGUAGAAAUGUGGCUUCAAUGCCGACUGCCCUUAGGGCCGCGACCUCCCUCGCUGUCUUGACCUCGCGGGAGUCCUGCGACAGCUUGGUGCCGCCGUCGCAGACGUCUGAGCUCGCGCUUAUGCCGCGGCGCAGCGGCGACGCGGCGGACGGCAACGGCGGCGCUGGGACUGGCCCGGGCCCCCUUCUCAUAGAUGAGCGCGUCUCUGGUGUGGCGGCGGCUGACUCAAGCGCAGUCACCGGUGCACACGCUGCGGAGGACGGAGACGUUCAUGACGGACUUGUUGCCGCCCACACAGACCCGGGCUUAGAGGCGGAGCACGAGUUGCCGCACUCACCACUCGCCACGAAGCUCAUAGGCUCCGACUUGAUGGCAGAGCCUCAUGCCACAUCGCACCGCAGUGUCGACAUCCGCUCCGCGGGUUUAGCUGUAGGAGUGGACCAGCGCGAUACCAGCCUUGGCGAGCAGAUACCCCUCACAGUGCCACAAAAUUCGCCUGAGCCAUCCCAGCCGACAGCGUCUUGCACAGUGGGCCCUCCAGGGUCACCAGACCACGUGCUUGCCCGCUCGCCGCUGCUCCUGGGCGAAGAGGCUUCUGUAGACACGCGCGCAGCAAGUCGAGCCCAGACGCGCCCCGACCAUCACUACGGGCUGGUAGUGUCACCCUCGCCGCAUCACGAAGGCUCGACUCCACGUGUGCGCGCCCAGUCGCGCUCACAGCGCCAGCACCGCGGCCCCAGUGUCGGUCAGGUUGUGUGCCGUUGGUGUGGAGAACCGUAUACAAACACAGAUGUAUGCCUUGCCGCGCGGCGACCACACAGCGUGCUCCGCGAGGAGCGGCGCAUAGAGAAGGCGGCGAAGCGCACGGCACAGACGCUCUUGCGCGAGGGCCGAGUCACGGAGGCGGUGGCGCUGCUGAAGAGCGCUGGUGUAUACGUGCAAUGAGCGAGGCUUCCACGGCGCGCACCACGGCGCUUCACGGAGCUUCACGGCGCUCUCCCCCUCUCUCUCUCUAUCUCCGCGUGUCACUCACGUCUCAUCUCCGUCGACGUUGUCGCGGCCUUCUUUUGGUGUCUUUCACUUGCUUGCAACCUUGCUCGCUCUGUUCUCAUACUCCUGUAUCGCUGGUCAUCGCGCGCCACUUCGCCGCUCGCU
rnacentral:misc_RNA from 1 species